rnacentral:rRNA from 1 species
UACGUAGGGGGCAAGCGUUGUCCGGAUUUAUUGGGCGUAAAGAGCGUGUAGGCGGCCAAGCAGGUCCGCUGCGAGAACUCGAGGCUCAACCUCGAGACGUCGGUGGAAACCGUUUGGCUAGAGUCCGGAAGAGGAGAGUGGAAUUCCCGGUGUAGCGGUGAAAUGCGCAGAUAUCGGGAAGAACACCCGUGGCGAAGGCGGUUCUCUGGGACGGUACUGACGCUGAGACGCGAAAGCGUGGGGAGCGAACAGG